CUGACACAGGGAGGUAGUGACAAUAAAUAACAAUGCCGGGCCUUUACAGGUCUGGCAAUUGGAAUGAGAACAAUUUAAAUCCCUUAUCGAGUAUCAAUUGGAGGGCAAGUCUGGUGCCAGCAGCCGCGGUAAUUCCAGCUCCAAUAGCGUAUAUUAAAGUUGUUGCAGUUAAAAAGCUCGUAGUUGGUUUUCAGUCUGGGGUGGCGAAGCACUCACAACGUGAGUGACUUCUGCCUUCCUGGACUUCCUUGGUGAGAAUCUGUUUGGUAUUAAGUUAUCGGGCAGAGGAUAACCAUCGUUUACUGUGAAAAAAUUAGAGUGUUUAAAGCAGGCUUAUGCCGUUGAAUAUAUUAGCAUGGAAUAAUAAGAUAGGACUUUGAGUCUAUUUUGUUGGUUUGUGAAUCAAAGUAAUGAUUAAUAGGGACAGUUGGGGGUAUUCGUAUUUCAUUGUCAGAGGUGAAAUUCUUGGAUUUCUGAAAGACGAACUACUGCGAAAGCAUUUACCAAGGAUG
rnacentral:rRNA from 1 species